CAGCGAGGCUGGUGGAGAGGGGGUAAGCACGUGGCGGGCAGCAGGUCAGUGAAGCUGGAGACGAAACAGCUGCUGCAGUAUAUAAGUCUGGGCAGGCGCCGGUAUAGUCACAUUCGGUCACAACUCUCUUCCAGUUCCAGUGUACCAACUCCACAACUCCAUGAUGAAGGUCUUUGUGUUGAUGGUCUUUCUGGUAGCAAUUGCAUCGGCCUUGCCGCAGGCAACGGAUGCAGCAGCGGCUCCUCCCGCAGAGGGUGCAGCAGGGGGUGCUACUACCCCAGCAGCUGGCGCAGGGGGUGCAGCAGGAGCUGGUGCUACCACAGCACCUGCCGCAGGGGGGGAAACCACUGCCGCAGGAGGAGGAGCAGGAGCUACUACAGCAGCAGCGUAAGGAUAACCUUGUAAUAAUACCACUAGAACCCAAGGGUAUGACUUAAGGCAACAAAAGCGAGUAUCUUUUUUUUUUUCUACAAACUCAAGUACACCGGCACUGUAUUGCUACUAUAUUCUAUAAGGUUAGAGUUUAGGUCAAAAGCUAGCCAUGUUCAGUUAUCAUUCCCUUCUGCUAGCCUGCUCUAUCAAAUGGCAUGUAAACUGUGGGAAAAUGUUCAUGUACAUACUUUAAAAUAAACAUUAAUUAAAAAGCUCCAGAUAUUUUACACCUGUGUGACAUGUUUAAUUGCCGGAUAUUGAGCAAUAUAGUGUUUGAGACAUGUCCUUGCUGCCUUUAACUUAUUAGUUCAUAUUAGGAGUGGUUAAGGUUUGGAGAUUGUUAUCUGAAGAUAACCUUCAACAAUUAUUAAUAUCCUAGCCUAAUCCUGGUAAUUACAAUGGCACACUUUGAUGGAACUGUUAUCCUUGCAUACAAAUUUCAGAUCGGAACAAUUCGCAAUUGUUACUGCUAUAGUGUUUUGUUAAGAAGUGUUUGUGAUUUCUUUCUUCUUAAACUUUCAGUAAUAUAGAGAUAGGAUUAUUAAUGAGCCUAAAUUAAUAUUCUGUUUGCUAUUUGCAUGCUGAGUAAAUGCUGCACACUUUUGUUUAACAUAAAUUUAUAUUGUAGUUAUUUAAAAAAAUAAACACUAUUGUAUUUUGUUUAAAUUUUAAAUAAAUAUUGGCAAAGUG